rnacentral:ncRNA from 11 species
UUUCCGUAGGUGAACCUGCGGAAGGA